GAUGCUCCAAAUUCACUUGAUUGUGAUGUUGUCCAUAGAGGGUGUUAGGCCCGUUGGAGUGUUUGAAACUUUUAUUGAUGCUUCCUAUGAGUCGGAUUGUUUGAGAAUGCAGUCCAAAUUGGGUGGUAAACUCCAUCUAAGGCUAAAUACUUGUGUGAGUCCGAUAGCAAACAAGUACCGUGAGGGAAAGUUGAAAAGAACUUUGAAGAGAGAGUUAAAUAGUACGUGAAAUCGCUUAGAGGUAAACGAGUGAAGCCGAAGAUGUUGUAUGGGAUUCAGUUAACUGYGUGUUUUCUUGAUUUUUGCGAAAUCCAACUAGGAAUCGCUUUUAUCGAGCUCUUAAUAUGCGGUUGAUGCACUUUCUGUAUAACAGUACUGCGACCGAUAGCGUCUUUUUUCUGUCGUAAUUUUGAAGGUGAUCAUUCCCUCGGGAAUGGUUUUAUAGCUGGUUACACGGUUAAAUGAUUUAUUGGUGAUUGCGAUUGACAGAAAUUGAUUGGUUUGAUAUUGAUGGUUCUUUUAUAGACUAAUAAUAGGCUAUUUGUGAACUGUUGAUGUUUUUCAUGAUCGAUGUGUU
rnacentral:rRNA from 1 species